UGCCAGCAGCCGCGGUAACACGUAGGACCCGAGCGUUAUCCGGAUUUACUGGGCGUAAAGCGCGUGUAGGCGGUUCGUUAAGUCUGAUGUGAAAGCCCGGGGCUCAACCCCGGAAGUGCAUUGGAAACUGGCGAACUUGAGUACGGGAGAGGAAAGUGGAAUUCCGAGUGGAGAGGUGAAAUUCGUAGAUAUCUGGAGGAACAUCAGUGGCGAAGGCGGCUCCCUGGACAAAGACUGACGCUCAUGUGCGAAAGUGUGGGUAGCGAACAGGAUUAGAUA
rnacentral:rRNA from 1 species